CUAAGGUAUCAAUAUCCUUCUGAAGAUACGGUCUCCAGUACUGUGUGCAAUACUCCAAGUGAGGUCUCACCAGUGUUCUGUACAAUGGCAUGAGCACUUCCCUCUUUCUACUGCUAAUACCUCUCCCUAUACAACCAAGCAUUCUGCUAGCAUUUCCUGCUGCUCUAUUACAUUGCCUACCUUUAAGUCAUCAGAAAUAAUCACCACUAAAUCCCUUUCCUCAUAUGUUGGGGUUAGGACUCUAUCAAAUAUUCUGUACUCUGCCCUGGAUCCCAACAUCUUCCAACGACUACUUGCUCUGUGGGGUCCAUUUAAAUACGACCUCUUUGCAUCAUGACUCAAUCGCCAACUAGAAACAUUUUUCAGUUGGGGUCCGGAUCCAGAAGCAGUAGAUCAAGAUGUUUUCCUCCAAUGUUGGAAAGACGGAAUCAAUUAUGCUUUUCCCCCGUUUACGAUGAUAUCCCGGGUACUUCUGAAAGCAUGGUCCCAGAAAUCGACCUUAGUAGUUAUAACCCCUCUCUGGCCAUCACAACCAUGGUUCCCUCAGCUUCUCAGCAUGCUGAUAGACUACCCACGACUCAUACAGAUGCGUCAGGAUUCUCUUCGCAAUCCGGAGGGAAAUUUUCAUCUUCUAGUGCUGUCGGGCCAACUACCUUUGAUUGCAUCUCUCAUUUUGGGUCAUUCGAAUCUCAUAGUGAAUUUUCAAACACUACUAGAGACAUUCUCUCAGAAGCAUGGGCACCGGGAACCCGUGCAAAUUACAGAUCAGCCUGGAAAAUUUGGCUUAAUUGGUGCAUGGGAUGGGCAGUGGAUCCCAUACAUUCAGAUUUAGUAAACAUUCUAAAUUUUUUGUCAGCCUCUUUUGACUCAGGGAAAGCUUAUCGCACCAUUGUCUAUAGAUCUGCUAUCUCAGCAAAUCACGACCCUAUUUAAUUUUUCCCUGUGGGUAAACAUCCUUUAGUCUGCAGACUUAUGAAGGGUAUCAGAUUUAAACGUCCUCCAUGCCCUAAAGAAAAAUUCCACCUGGGAUGUUACUCUGGUACUCCAGUUAAUAGAAUCAUGGGGUGCCAAUGACUCAUUAUCCUUAAAAUUGCUUUCGUUUAUGCUUACCACAUUACUAUGUCUCAUCUCUUUCAAAAGAGUUUUUGACGUUAAGGCUUUAGACUUAAAUAAUAGACAAUAUACUCCUGAUGGUGUUCAUUUUUCUAUUGUUAGACGUACCAAAACUAAUCUCCGCACUGUAUUCUAUCCUUCAUUUUCUGACCAUCCUCUUCUAUGUGUUGUUAGUUGUCUUUAAGCAUAUGAGUUUAAAACCUCUUUGAUUCAAAAUUCUAAUUUCUCGCAAUUACUAAUCUCUUUUCGUAAACCUUUUCUGCCUGUCUCCUCUACAUCUUUAGCUAGAUGGGUACGACAAACUAUGUCUAUGGCAGGUAUAUUUUAGACCUAUGGAUGGAUUGGGUAGAAUAAUCUAGCCCUGGAGAGUGGAGAAAAUGGAUAUAAUUGGGAUAGGAAUAAGUAAGUAAAGGGUCUCUACUAGUAAAGAUAAGCCCCAUAAAAGCUCUUGAAAAUAAAUACAUAAAAUUAGGUAUAAAAACCUACAUGUACCAGGAGAUCCCUAAACCAAUAAAAGGUGAAGUCUAAUAUACAAAUAAAUAGCUAUAAAAAGUGAAGAGCGAAGUAAAACCAAUACAGAUAGAGGAAUUGGCAAUAGCAAAAGAUGCAAUCUAAAAAACGAGCACUAGAUGGCAGCCAAGUACUGAGUAAUAGUGAUAUUUUAGAUCUAGCCUGCAUGUUUCAAAAAUAAUAUUGUAAUAACUUCUGAUGUAUUUUAUAUUAUGACUAUUUAGCUUU